UGCAUCAAGUGUCUUGUUAGGCUUUUUAUCUAUGAGGGGUAUCUAUUUUUUCAGACCAGAUAACGUAAGAAAAUCGCUCCCUGUGGAUGAUGGUGUACUUUCUGACGAGAGUGCUGACGCAAAUAUCUGUUAGGGGUCACAUUUGUCUAAGUAUUAUCGUGACUAUAGAAUAUCUGAUAGGACCACUAUGGGGGGUACGGUCGUAAUCAUAAAUCGUAUCAUGGUUUGACAAGCCGAAAAUGUGUCUGAACAAAUUACCGUUAUCUGUAUCUAAUCUGGUCAUUCCACAUGAAUAGUUGAAAAUCUGU
rnacentral:lncRNA from 1 species